ACCACGAGGUGUUCCUCAGAUCACUGUCUGUUUUGACAUAGACGCCAACGGAAUCCUGAACGUGUCGGCUGAAGACAAGACGACCGGUCAGAAGAACAAGAUCACGAUCACUAACGACAAGGGAAGGCUGUCUAAAGAAGAGAUUGAGAAGAUGGUACAGGAGGCAGAGAAGUAUAAAGCAGAGGAUGAGGAACACAAGAAGAAGGUGGACGCGAAGAAUGCUUUGGAGAACUAUGCAUACAACAUGAGGAACACGAUCAAGGACGAGAAGAUUGCGUCUAAGCUGGAUGCAGCUGACAAGAAGAAGAUCGAGGAUGCGAUCGACCAGGCUAUUGA
rnacentral:lncRNA from 1 species